AACCAAACACCGCUGUGAAUUUAGCAGUGAUCUUCUAGGGCAAACAGGAGCCCAGAUCAGUGUGUGACACCCUCAGGCAAUUAGAGCAAAGCCUGGCCCUCAAGAGCUAAUGAGCUCACACAUCAGCACCUGCUCUUGGGUGAACCUGAGCAAACCAUGCCCGGCCUAAUCAAACUUCCUUCUCUGGGUCAAGCAAUUCAACAGCUAGACCCGUGCUAGCCUGACACAGGCCAGGGCUUUGGCAGACAGGCCAGGCAGGAGGUAGCCCGUGACUACCAGGAGAGGACAUUUACAUGGUCCAGGACCAUCAUUCCCCAUUAAAGGACAGCUGCCAGGUGCUUUUGCCAGCCACACUGACAACACUGCCCAUUACCUUGGCGUGGCUGGCACAAACUCUGAGCUGGGAUGCACAUCCUUUUCACACUGUACAAGAGCCUGGACCGACGGAAAUGUGUCUCACUGAGCUUAUUCUCAGUUUGCCCAUGCAUACAGUGGGAAUAAAGAAAGAGGAAUGACACCUUUGUUGGAAGUGGGAGAGGGCAGCAGCCACAGGCAGUAGCCACAGUCUCCCUUAGACUGCAGAGAAGGUCACACCAAACAAAAAGCAAACCAGCCUCAAGGAUACACAGAAGGUACUGAUUGCCACCUUUCCUACUUCUGGAGAACCCCAAUGCCCUGCUGUCUUUUGACAAAUGGAUCCCAAAGAGAAGACUGUACCCUCCUAGCUCAACAGCAAAACAUCUCAUCUCAGGUCAGGGCAUUCAGAACUCCCUGAAGCUUUCAAAAAGUUAGAGAGAUCAAGAGAAACACUUUAGCUAGAGUGGUGAAGUAAGAUGAAAACAGAAUCAGAUGAAAACAGAUUGGUACAGGUUGAAAGGGACUUCUGGAGGUCAUCUGGUCCAUUCCUCCCUGCUCACACAGGGCCCCAUGGUCCUUGUUGCCCAGGACCAUGUCCAGACUUUUUUUUUUCACUAUUUCCACAGGUGGAGACUCCACAACCUCUCUGGGCAACCUGUGCCAGUGCUCAGUCACCGGCACAGUGUAAAACUGUUUCCUGAUGUUCAGAGGGAACAUCCUGUGUUCCAGUGUGUACCCAUGGCCUCUGGGCACCACUGGUGUCCUCCUUUGGGCCCUUUUUGAAGAGAGGAGUGAUAUUUUCUUUCCUCCAAUGCUCAGGCACCUCUCUCUCUCAGUCACCAUAAUUAUCCAAAGAUGUCCAGUAUGGUGCCCAGACUGUCAUUUGUGAGGCAGGUCAGGACACACACAAACUCUUUUCUCUGAGGUGUUUGUUUGUAUGUUUUGCUAAUUGACAUAUCAGACUGUGGCCUUCAACUUCAAUUAGUUUUGGUGUUUAUUUGUAUUCAGUGGAGUCAUUUUGAGAAGAACUGAACAACUCUUCUCCCUGGGAAGAGAAGCCCUUAAAUUUCUUCCCCCUGCUACUGGACUGAGACAGUGAAAUAACACUUCAGUUCCCAUAUGUGUCAUGUCUUAAACACAAACCAGGUUUGAGGUUGAGAUGUGCAAAGAUUCAGCCAGUGGAGCUGCUGUUGUGUGAAAGACAUUAACAGAGCUGGUAUUCCAGUACUUCUUUGAUUUCUCAUAAGACGGGAGAAAAAAAAACCCCAUUUACUACUUUGAAAAUCAACAUUUUAAAACAAUUUUUCUAUGCCACCACUUUCACAAGCUAACCCAAAGCUACAGAGUGACUAUAGAAUCUGCUCCAAGGACGCCUUGGAUCCCUUAACCCUUUUGGGAAGUGUAACUUUUGGCUGCUCCUGACACGCAGCCUGCUGCAGACAGCAGUGAACAAACGUCAGAUUUCCUCGUUAGAGCCUGCAUGCAGUGAGUGCAUCAGGGGCUUAACGCUGCCUGAAUGAGGCACAACCGAGAAGGCAACACGAACACUUAGAGGUGUUUAAGAUCUUAUUCAUGCUAGUCUAAUGCAGUCAUACCAGGGAUAAUAUUUGUUUUGGGUUAUGGCCAGAUGACAAUGUAAUAGCCCCAUUUGGGCAGUCUAGACCUUUCAUAUGCGAUAAACGCUUCCCCAGAAUGUAUAAUGUACUAAAAAAAUGCAUACAGAGUGCAUGCUUGUAUCUAGCAGAAAUGCUCUCUAGCCAAAACAGAAGACUGGAAUAGCUUUCCCAGCAUAUGGGAUUAACACUGCCAGAAAAAGAAUAAAAAGCUUGAACAAUAAUUUGCCUGAUUUAUAAAUGUGACAGUAUUGAGAAAUGAGGAGGAACCCAAAUUUUCCAGAAUGCCCUAAAGGAAAGUAACAUGUGAAGUAUUCUUUUCUUUAGAAAUGAGCUCAGUGCCAAAGCUUUGGUGGCAAGAUGCUAAUUUGUUUUCAAUAGGCAGGCCUGAUUUCUUCAGUGUUUCCUUUUUCCCCAUCUCAUCACCUAAAGGCCUGGAAUAUGAAAGGGCAGACAAGCCUAGGAGGAUUUACCAGGUCUUGUUAUAGCACAUCAGUCAUCAAAGGAACACUGAACACUGAUAAUUUUUCUUCCAACUCCAUAUCAUGAUAAAGACAUUUUGCUUUCCAAGUAUGUAUAAAGUGUUUAAUGUUCAUAAAAUAAAAGGUAGGGUUCUAGGACAACUUUUUAAACCCCUCAAAACAGGAUGAGUAUAAACACAAAAGAGAAAUUAUUGCUUCAGCUAAAACCCAAGCCAGCUUUGAUUCAGUUUUUAUCAAAGCUAACUUUGCUUAUAACCACAUCUGUAAACGCAGAAAGCACUACGGCCAUUCAGGCACAUGAGUGGAGUGAGAAGUGGAAGUGGGUCAGGGUGAAGCUAGGAGUGUCUUCCUAGCAGAAUGUGUUCCUUGCUUGUGCAGAAGGGAAGAUUUGAGCCUGCCCACCAGAAUCACCCACAGAGUUCCCAACCAAGUAUGGAGGAAAGGCCAGGAUGGCAGCAGCCUCCUCCUUCUCCCUCUGCUGAAGAUGCAUUUCAUGCUGCUCUCUGAGCACUCAGCGUUAUAAUUCCAAGUGAAAAUUUUACACCAAGCAUGAAUUACAACUACUUGAAGUGAAUCUGUCAUUCUCAUUCAAAUCUAAGUGAGAAAUUUGUAAACUAAGAGAUGUGGGCAGCAUGCAAAGCAGAAUAUGAUAGAGGAAAAUGAAAACUCAGUAUCUGCUAAUGAAGUGGGGUUUGUGUUGUUACCUGAAAAUUUUCAGAGCAAAAAAACCCCCAUUCAACACUUUCAAAACUCAAAACUGUUACAGGAAAAAACCCCCAAAUGUCUGAAAACCAGAUGAUGAAACAAAUGUCUUCUCAGCUGCAUAAUCAAAAAAAGCUCUGCCUUUGGGAGUUGUGCAGAACUGAGGCAACAUGCAAUGGGCACAGGCUCCCCCAAACAGAGACUCCUCACCAAAGGCCACAGAGACCAGCAGCAGGCUAAGCCAUUGGAGGUUCAACCCUGCAAUUUGUGUGACUGGGUCAGUUUAUGUCAACCCUUGGGUUUCCAAACAGAACACUAAGCUGGAUUUGAAAUAGUGACCACUACAGCCUCCAAAAGCUACUUAUCUGAAGGUUAUCCAGAGGCAGGUCUGAUAAAAUCACUAUCUGUUACCCUACUGUGAAAUAACUCUUAUUCUCCCCCAAAACAUUAACACAUACACUUCCUCCCAAAUCACUCUUAUUGAAGUUUGAUAAGUAUGUAGCAUGAGUUGCAUUCAACAGACAGGAUUUCUUUGAUAGUUUAAAUCCCUCCUGGCUUCUUGAAAGGCCUUCUUUUCCUAACUCUAGUGAUAGCACAACUCUUUACCUGGAGGCUAAGACCCAAUGAAAUUCAUGUUCAAAAUCCCCUAAUUAAGAUCACUGAGAUGAACGAGCAAAUUAAAGCAACAAAAUAAGCUCACAUUGCUUGUUUCCUUUCUUGCUUGGAUCCAUACUGAUUUCAGAAACAAAAUUUCAGUUUGCAAAACUAUAAAAGGAUAUGCUGAAACAUGCCCAUUCCUUCAGAAUGGUUUUGCAUUUGCCAUGUGAUUCCUCCUAGUAUUUUGGAAAAUAUAAAUUAUACUAAAAACAUUCUUCUUGACAGAUCAUGCAUGAGACGUAUCUUGAAAACUUCCCAUAUCAGUUGAUGUCAGGCAUUGGAAGAGGCUGCCCAGACAAGUGGUGGAACCACUAAGUCUAGAAGUGUUCAAAAAAUGUGUAGAUGUGGCACUUAAGGACAUGGUUUAGUGGUGAAGAUGGCAGUGUUGGGUUAACAGUUGGACACAAUGAUCAUGGAGAUCUUUUUCAAACUUAAUAAUUCUCUGAUUGUGUCUGCACUGUACCUCUUGUUUCAGAGUUAUGAGAGGGCAAAGGUAGGAAAUUAGUUUUCUUCUGUUUAUUUGGUCAAAGGUUUUCUUUUAGCCAGAGGUGUAAGAAACAAUCAAACUACUGUGAGUACAGCUAAAAGCAUACAGAUAAAAAAGCAUUUCAGCUUUCCUUUUUAUAUGUUUAAAAAAUACAAAAAAUACAAAAACCUUUUAAAAAGAAAUUACAAUGGUUAACCUAUAAACAGGUUACAGCUUGUGUUUACUGUGCUAAACAAAUUUUGUUGGACCAUAUGAAGACUUGCAGAGCUUGUGGCAACCUGACCCACCAGCCAGCUGUGAUCUAACAGAAUUGGUCCCCAUUUCUGCAGUGAUGCCUUCUUAUCCAAGCACCUCCCAGAUGAAGGCAAGGAAAGGGAUGUGCGAGGUGUGGCAGCCUGGAACUGCCUCUCUGGUACCCUGCUUCCUUAGGGAUCCCUUUUCUUCCCUCUGGGGACUGAGACAUCUGUGUACCCAGCCAUGAGAGGCAGAGGAGCUACAUCAGCCUUCAGUGGCUCCAUCACUGCCCACAUGGCCUGCUCCUGCAGAAAGAUGAGCUGUCUGUGGGUUUGGGUAAUACAUGCUUAAGCCAGUGUGUGUUUUGCUGAAUUUUGUGCCAUCUGCUGAAUAACAUACAUAUAAAAGAAACACAUUGUCACUAGACAGUCACUGCAGACAAACAAGGUAUACUAUCUUAAAAAAUCUCAUUUCAUUCCAACAUUUGGCGAAAUAUUUUAAGAUUAAACAGGCUUUCUUUUGCAAUUCAGUGAUAGCAAUGGCAAAUUUCACUUUCACUCAGCACACCUGUUAGGCACUAUGCAGAUCACAAGUGAUUUGCAGAAUUCAGGCUUGGAUACAUCAGAAAUCAAAAGAAGUGUUCUUUGAUAACAAAACCUCCAAAAAUAUAUAGGAAAUACCAUAGCAUGAUGCUUUGGUUGUGUGUUCAAACGCCCACUAUAUUUAUCUUAAAUAUAUUUACAGAAAACUAAGACCUACACUUGGCCAACUACAUUGAAACAGCUUCUUUCCAUUUUUAUGAACCACCAGAGAAAAUUUACUCACAUGCAUUGGAAAUGGGAGCUCUAAUUAAAGCAAAGAAUAAUCUCAUGAGUUCCUCAUGCAGAUGGAAGAAAAGUGUGAUGUACUGUAACAGAAAGUAAACCCAGCAUCAGCAGCAAACCAGCCUGCACUGCAACUUGAAAUCAGAAACCCUUGAUGUUUUUCUGUAUGAAACACCAUCCUAAAAGCAGCACCACGACAGCAAGCUUUGGACUUCUCUGGAAAAUCAACAUUCCUUUGGCAUAGUAUGAUGGACUCUGAAAUUCUUUAUACAAGAAUAUGAACACAUUCAGUUAACCUACAGAAGCUCAGUUAACCUUCACCUUUAAAUCUAAAGGCAAAGAGCUAGACAGAUGAGUGAAUAAAAGUAGAGCAAGAAUUAGGUACAAUGUGUUUAUUGUAUUUUAUUGAUCUCAUUUUUACAUGACUAAGUGGACAGAAGAUUUUCAUUUAUUUCCUGAGGAAGCAUUUAAUUUAUGUGGUCAGUUUUAGAGCACAAAGUGCAUCUCUUUGCAGUAAAUUUACUCCUUUUGUUUUGUUUGCUUGCUCUCUGCAAGUCCCAAAAGCACUGCAUCAGCUUCCAGCAAGGUUGUGUCACUGGCUGCCCCCAGAAACCUGGACGUCAGUUCAAGAUCCAGCAGUCUCAGGCGUACCCGGGUUCCUCUCUGAUAUUUUCUGUGAAGAAAGGGGGAGAGGGGGAAGAAGGAAAAGCAGCUCACCAGUAACCUACAGCAGGAAGCUGUUGAGAAAACUACCUUCAGGGUCCAACACAUUUCUAGAGAGAUUGAACUGAACGAGGUUUAAAUUGAAUUAGAAGUCCUUUCACUAUUUGACAGCCCACAGUAGGAGAGAUAUUGAGUUCCAUCUUUGUAAGUGAAAUACAAAAUAUUACUUUCAUCAUGCAUCAGUUCCUUUUGGGUAGGUUGCUUGACUACCGUGAUGUUCUACAAGUGAAUACAUGAAACUAAUCAAGUUUUUUCUAAUCAAGUCUUUAAAAGUACUAUUUAUAACCAGGGAAGUCCAUGUGGAAAAUCUAUGAAGAAAAUGUGCUUCUUAUUAUUAAUGCAUCUAAUUUUAUAGAAAAUAAACAAAUAAAUAAAUAAAUAAUCUUAAGCACAACUGCCCCAAUUUCAGUUCUGAUCACUGUACAGUCUGCAGAGAACUUGGCUUCAAUUUCUGGACAUGACUUUAGCAUAUAUUUGUAAUGCAAAAUCCAAGCAAUUGUACUUUUGUAAGAAGAAUCACAAUCUUCAAUGCUGCUUCAGUAACUGGAAGAGAUUCCAGAUACUUUAAUCAUACUUAAUCAUUAAAGAAGCUUUUCCAGUCACAGCACAUCUGCUUACAAAAAGAUCACGAUGAACAUCUCUUUGAGGAGCUGACAAAACUGCCAAUUUAUAUGAAUAUAAACAUUUGGGUUUGUGACAGAUGUUCCCUACAGCUAAAACACUUCAAGAGUAUGAUGAUGUAGAAAAAGCAGAAAUAUGAACACAACAUGCAGUGAUGGUCUAUCCACCACAUUUUAGAGCAAGAGGAAAUGAUAGGUUGCUGUAUGUAUAGCAAUCAUAUUCUAUCCACAAAGGUAUUUAUCCUUGAAACAGAUAAAACUAUCCUUUGGUUAAAGCAGAAGCUUGAAGCAGGACCCAGAAACAAAGCAGGCAUUUUAUUAUUUUCAGGAAUAGCGGCCUAGGAGACACAGGACACCAGUGUAAAAGGAAAGAAACCAUCUACUUACUCCACUUUGCAAAAGGACUCGCCUUAUUUUUGUGUAACAAUGCUGGUUUUCAAGAUCAUCUUAUCCAAUGACCAUCAGCAGGUACCACUGACCUUCACCCAACCCCCAAGCACUGUGUUUCUCAAGGAUUCCCGUGUUUUCCUCGUACUACUUCCUAUUGCCAGGUAAAAGUAUUAAACUCACUGAGAAGUAGACAAAGGUGUUUAGUUACAUUCAUAAAUGAAGGUGUAAGAAUUUCUCUAGAACUUAAGAAAAUAAUUUUGCAAGUAGACUGAAAGCUUGAUCCACUUGCACAGAAUUUAUUUACAAUAGCUAUGAUUUUUAACCCUUUGGGCAUCCAAAUUUUGAAUGGAAGGACCCCACCUAACACCCACAUUCAGAGGUGGGAGUCCAGCAGCUGCUGUUUCUGAGCCAUGACUCCUUCUCAAGCCAGUGUCCAGAGCACCCACUGAAGCACCAUCAGAAACUUUGCCUGAACUUAACCAAGGAACAGGGGUCCAAAAAAGCUUUCUCUGUUUUAAAUGCGUACCUGCAGGCUUCUCUCCAGCUCUUCUGGAGCACUAGGUACAAGGUGUACCUUCCCUCAAACAUCCACUUCUAGAUGAUGUUUAGUUAAGUUAGAGGCAACCCAAAUAACUGCUUCAGUGCUCUUUGUAAUUUUUGAACUGUCUUGGAGAAGAACUAGAAAAGAAUCAAAAUGAAGAUCCUUUUCCUUGCUUGAACCCUAAGUCUGUGCAACCACACAUCACCAAUGCAACACAGAAUAUAAGAGCACAGAGAAAGCACACAGCACUGCCUUGCUAAUGGUGCUAAAGAAAUUUUAAAAACAAAUAUAAAAAUUAAAGUUUAUGUCCUGUUGCUACAUUAAAAACAGGGCCUAUUAUCCUUGUAUGCAAAUAUUAAACUACUGUGUCUUAACUUACAAAAAGUAGGUCUUCUCUUAGCUAAUCAUAUCAGUAGAACAGUGAGCGCUUUCAGACUCAAGUGACUUGGAAACUUCCUCCUGAUUGUCUAUAUCACUUUUAUUGCAAUUUGGUCUCUAUGCUGAUCCUUUCACUUUUGUACUGAAGCUUUAAAUCUCUCAAAAUCUUAAUGGUAAAUUAAAGGGUUUAUCCAAAAUUCCCCAAACUCUUCAGUCAAGAUUUUAAACUUGUAAUUUUAAAGUAAUUUUACUAUGUGAAAGAUACAUGAAGAAACAAAAAACCCCAAUAUUUUUACAUAAUAAAACGGGAGGGGGAGGAUAUGGAAUGACAUAUUUCAGCUCCUGUUAAUUAAGAAUGCUGUGGGGGGGGGAAUAUUUUUUAACUUAAAAGUCAUUCCAGGUUACAGCAAAAGGUAUACAAAUGCAGCUGCCUUGGAAAGCGAUGAGCAUGUUAAAACAAGGAGGCUAUAACUAAAAGUGAGGAUACUAAUUAUACCAAUUUUGGCCAAGAAAAUGGGACAGUAGUUUUGCAGAUGUGCAAUUUUACAUGCAAAGGAAGCAUCCUUAUUACUAAAUGGCAUUAAGAACUUUAUUCAAACUCUAAAUUGUAGUUGUAGACAUUAAAGCAUUUUGUUAAACUAUCCAGUAUUUAAAACUGCAUGUGAUCACAAAUUAGCAAGCAGUCCUAUUUCUAUUAAAAUGACUCAAGUUAUUAGUUUAAAAUUUAAGGCAACAAAGCUUCUAUUCUUGGGAACAUUGCUGUAAAAAUAACAAUGCAAUUACAGAAAUGGUUGAGUCUCGCUGGGUCUUGGCUGGUAUUUCCCACUCUUCAAAAGUGCAUUCACAGAUACCUCCUAUUUCAUACUGUAAAAAUACAGGACUGAUAUUUUAAGACAAGCAGAAUAUUUUGGUUCAUAUAUCCUCUACUUUGUUAAGGAUUUUCAAUCUCCAUUACCUCCUUUUGGAACAAUAACCUCUGCAAUACAAAGAUGAAUGAACUUGCUAGGGCUGAGUAUGACCAUUCUCAUCCACUGUCCAUUCUUCAAUCCCCUCUGUCCCACCCCUCAGGAAUGUGCAUUUCUAUAACACGUAGGAAGGAAACUCUUAAACCUGGGGUUUAAUUCCUACACUGAGGAUAUAACUUAGAGAAUUUAAUUUGAUUUUUUUACACUUUUUUGCAUCAUUAUAUAUUAAUGUCCCUCAGCACAGUCUAGUGAUGGCUUUCUGCAAUGAAAGGAAUCCUUGGAUUAUCUUCCAUACAAAAUCAAUUAAUCUAAAACACUCCAAAGACAUGGUUAGAGUUGAGCCAUGGUACUCUCAGUGAAUGCCAUCAGAAGUCUUGAUGCCUUUCAUUUUUGCACUGAGAAUUUCAAAGUGUGUUUUUCAGAUCCAUUAUUCAAGAGGUUUUGUUUCAGUGCCUUAGCACAGUACAGAACCGUUUACAAAAUUCAAAACCUUUUCACUUUCUCUUUUUUUUUUUUUAUUAUGUGAAAGACACCACAUUAUCAACCUCAGAAAAAAUACAAGAGCAGCAAAGGUAGUGAAAUAAUUUGACUAUCACUUUCUCUCCAGAGUUUGUAUUCACCAUUCUUACCACCUUUCAAAUCCACUCAAAAUCACCCUGUAGCUCCUCAUUAGUAAUACUGAAAUGAUAAAGCAUCCCCAGAAGCUAACCCACCUCUAACUAACUGCAGCCAGCAGCAAAGCAGUGCAGCUGAUGUGGAACAAAGCUGUGUGUGUGGAACAAUUCAUUUUGAUUCUAAAAAAUGUUUUGAAGCAUUCCCAGACGCUGCAUGAGCCCACACUGGUCUCAACUUUAUAAAGAAAGGGAUGCCCUACAGCUGGCUUAAGGAGCACAGCUCUGUAUGAGUUUUGUACAGGUCACCCUCCGAUGCCCCACAGUGAAGGAGCUCUGUGAAAGCACAACACUUCCCAGAAACUUCUCCCUCACUGCCACUAUACACAAAAUUCUUGUUCAGAGAAAAUAUGGAUGAAAAAAGCAGACUGCUGUCAAGCUGAAGGCAGCACAUUUCUACAUAAAAAUCUACAUCUUGUAAAGUGGCUUUUUGCAGUGAGGCACACUGCACAAGUAAUGAUGGGGAUGGCAAUCCUGCAUCCAGCAGGUCCAGACAGCAGUCAUAACACACACCCUUUUCCCUCUGAAUGAGCUCCUAAGCAUGGCUGGGGCAAAAAGGCUAAAUCCUGAUUUUGUACAUAGCAGUGAUGGAAGAAAGUGGCAGCAGAAAGGUACCAUGAAUUUGGCCCAGAGUAGAACAUGGACGGUGGAAGAGACACUGGGAGGGCACUGCCCUGGGAUAGCACCCUGCUGACUGCCUUUCUUUAAGGCUGUUAAAGAGAGGACAAAGAACAUGCAUCAAAAUGAAUAACCAUGUAAAGAUCUUGAUCUGUUAUUAGAAAGAUUGAGCUGUCUAUACAGAAAGAAAAUACUGGUUUUAAAAGGUGCUUGAAUCUGUCUGGGAAAAGCCUGUAAUAAUCAGGAAAACAAAGUCCAACUAAUGCAGAUGACAAUGACAAUUUGCAAAUAAUAUUGAUGAACUAAUAGUAAAAACUCCAAGCCCUUGGAGACUUUUCAGCCGUUGAUGGCUUCAAGUGAAGAGAUGUCAAAACAGACAUGCUAGUUCAGUUCAGGAUAACCUGCUGAAAUGUCAUGUCUCAUGAUACAGUGAAGUCCUGAGAGAUGACCUGAAGGUCCCUUUUGGCUUAAAUUUUAUUCAUCCAUUAUUUAUUACCACAGCAUCCAGUCAUUCAAAUAAGGGAUGGAUGCUCAAAAUAGGAUUUUCAAAGCAUCUCUGUUCUCUGCAAUCAAACACUUCACAAAAAUGCUCCAAGGUUGCUGGCUACAUUCUGUCAGAAAAUGCAAUCUCGCUUCUUGUGACUCAUCAACCCAUUACCACUUCAGCUGUAUUUGUUUCCUACUCCAUUUGUUUUCCUCUUUCCUUGAACUAAGAAAGCAAACAUGCUGUCAUUUCUUCUGAGCUAUUCCUGCUUGUGACACCUGCUUAAUAAUUUUUCAGAAUAUUUUUGCCAAAUCCAUACUUCUACAAGGAAACAGACUAUACUCUGCUAGAUUGAAGCAAAGAUCUAGAUUACUCUGCUACAUAAAAGCAGAUAAAAGCCUCUCAUAUUCUUGAAAGCAUUUAGCAGAAUGCUUUAAGAGUGUGUGAAAUGAUCAACUUAAGCAACAGCCAUUGUCACCUACUGUUUUGGACCAACAGUGCAUCAGCAGAUCCUAUGGCAAACAUCCUUAAAACCAGCAGGUUUUAUGCACCUGAGGAAGUCCAAAGCUGAACCCUGCUUUACAGUGACCACCGUCUAAAGCAGAAAUUGGAAAUGAAUACACAAAGAGUUUGGGCAUAUUAGCUAGAUGCUGAUGUGAAAACACCCUGAAGCACUUGAAUAGUCUCCCUAGACAACUGGAGCUUAGAGAAGUGCUAAUGUCACUGCAUGUAUGGACACUUGGUAAAAAAAACCUCCUAAACAGAUUGGUACAAGCUGUAGAGUUUGAGAGUCUGCCCCAUUGUUAGGGGGUAAAAUAAUAUCUCUAGUUAUGCUUAUGGUGCUGUUCAAAGCCAUAAUUUAUUGGUCAAGCCUUGGCAGCUUCAUUCUGUGGGGCUCAAGUGCAGAGACCUUGUCACUCUUCAUUGUUGGUACUGAGAUGCCAGAUAGCUGACUGAAAGUGGCACAGACAUAGCUGAAUGAAACAUGUACAUUUGCACUCCUAUUGCUAAAAGAUGGUAAAUGCAAAGCCUGAUAAGAGUUGUUUUACAAUUGUCACAGAAAAGCAUCAAACAAGCCACUGUGAAGACACUGUCAAGCUCUGCUAUUACCAUGAUAUCAAUAAUCAAUGGCAUUUGUGUCUGUGACAGCAAAAGAAUACAGCCAAAGGUGUCAAAUAUUUCAAUCUAAUUCUGUUCUGGUCUGGACAUUCAGUCUCAGUACAAUUUCUUACUUGUAAAUCACUUCCAAAAAGUAACAUGCUUGUCCUCAAUUCAAACAAAACCCAAAGCAGCCAAUAUUUAAUUAGUAAAGCAAGAAAAAAAACCCACCUUGUUGUAACUUUUGCUACAGUAUGUGCAAGAAUCAAUUUGCAUUCACUAAAACUUCUGGUACAAGAUCAUUCCCCUUUUUAGGGAAGGAAUCCACAGAAUAGUCUGUAUUUUUAAAUGUACUUCAUAUCACAUUAAAUAUGAAUGCUGUAACCUUUUCUCCAUGGCACAGAGAGGUAAGCUUUGACAAAUGAAACUUGCAAGAGGUGGCUCCUGUCAUCUAAGAACUUGUAUCAGACACAGUCAUGUCAUCAUAUAGUAAUUUAUGCCAGUUGCCUUCUCAGCCUAUAAUGUAAAGCAUAUCCUUUAACUUGAGAGGAGAAUGAAAGAAAAAGAAAUAUGAGUCUUUAGUCCAAAUUUUUAUAUUUUUUCCACUGUUUAAACUACAAAAUUAACUAUUUUGAGCUUUGUAACUUACAAAAUGUUAAAAAAAUAAAGACUAUAUAUUUAAAUAUAUAUAAAAAAUUAGCCAAUGAUUUUACAAAACACUAAAAAACCCCAUAGCCCCUUUAAGCUUACAGGCACCACAAGCCAGGCAAACUGCUUAAAAGACGAAAGAUAAAGGUACCCAAGUGGAAAAGAAACAAAAAACCAAACUCAUGUGAAGUAUGCUGUAGCUCACAUUCUCCUAUCCAUCUUUCCACAAGUAAUCACUAUUGUAAUUCCUACCCUUUCUCUUUCCCAUGCUGAGACCCUGGCUCAGUCAGAUACUUUUCAUGAAUGUAGUCCUAAACCUUCAGCCCUCCACAGUUCAAAUUCACUUUCCACAAUACUGUCUUCGUUUUCUUCACAGAUGUGGCCUCAGUCUUAUUCCCUUUCUACACCUACUCCAUUUCUUACAUUGCAACUUCUCUGGCCUCUCACUGUCUCCCUGAGAUCUCAGACCAGCCAUUUGCAGUCUUCUUUUUCUAUUCCACAAAAAACUAUCAGACAUAUUUUCCUGCCCCCUCUUACUU